rnacentral:siRNA from 1 species
AUUGCUAUUUUCUAGAUGG